UCCAGUCGAAGUCUGACGGAGCACGCCGCGUGAGUGAUGAAGGCUUUCGGGUCGUAAAACUCUGUUGUUAGGGAAGAACAAGUGCUAGUUGAAUAAGCUGGCACCUUGACGGUACCUAACCAGAAAGCCACGGCUAACUACGUGCCAGCAGCCGCGGUAAUACGUAGGUGGCAAGCGUUAUCCGGAAUUAUUGGGCGUAAAGCGCGCGCAGGUGGUUUCUUAAGUCUGAUGUGAAAGCCCACGGCUCAACCGUGGAGGGUCAUUGGAAACUGGGAGACUUGAGUGCAGAAGAGGAAAGUGGAAUUCCAUGUGUAGCGGUGAAAUGCGUAUAGAUAUGGAGGAACACCAGUGGCGAAGGCCACUUUCUGGUCUGUAACUGACACUGAGGCGCGAAAGCGUGGGGAGCAAACAGGAUUAGAUACC
rnacentral:rRNA from 1 species